UUUUCUCGUCAAAUGAUGGGUGAAUCUAGUGCUUUUAACUACGAUCCAGUGUACAAAGGAUGUGUAAAUGAAUCUAGCUGUCGAUAAUGCGCAUGAAAUGGCUUAAAUGUGGAAACUUCCUCAAAACAAGCAAACUGACAACUCUAAAGAGUGAACAAUGGUAUGCACAAAUCAUCACUGAGAAGGAAUUGAAAUUACACUUUGGAGACUCCUUUGCUAUUUUUGAUGAAUCCAAACAACUGUAAAACCAAACAAAAAUGAUUGCCGGUAGCCGCCAGUGAAACUUUAAGUAGAGUGCUGCAAAUUCACAUUGUUUAUUACCUUCAUGGGAUCUUUCAAGUUUUUUGACAAUCUCCAAGUAAGUUUCCCGGAGGACUGGCAUCACCUCGCAGUGAUAAUUUACCUGCCUUCAACAUACAUCUACAGACUGUCUCCAGUCAUGACAGAUGACCAUGGGCUCUACCACUACAGAUACUUUGAAGACUCCUGUAUGAUGGCCGUAUCUCAAGAAUUGUGCUGAAACAAUGGCUGCUAGACAGGAAAAAUGAUCCCUGCGUUAUUCCUAUCUGUGUAUGCAAGAUACACUAGCAGUUAGAAAAUGAAAAAUGUUCCUAAAAGUCCCUGACCAUGACUGAAUGUUGAAAGAAAAUUAAAGAAAAACACCUUCUAGACAGCAGUAUCUCCAAGAACACUACCCUGAACCAAGACUGAAAACUGAAGAAAUGUAUUUAAGGCCUUAAUUAUUAAAUAAUGAAGUAAAUUUUUGUCUUAUUAGUUAAAAGGUAUAGCAAAUAUUUUACUUAGAGUCCAAAACAUAGCGUACACACUCCGCUUUCACUUGCAACAAAAUGUAGCCUGAAAGGCUACUUUUAUAUAGAUAUAUCUUGAAAAACCAUAGCAACCCAGGUAAACUACAUCCUGCGUCACUUGGCCACCAAAAUGUAACUCUCUCCACCCUUAAACCUUAUAAAUUAAAUAUAUAAAUACAUAAUUCCCUAAUUAUUCUAAUAAUUGGCCACGUGAUCGUCUAGUCUAGUAGUUAGGACCCCUCUGAAGUGAACCGAGAUACCCUAGAUUCUUUAAUGAGUAACAACUAUAUUUUGGACUCCAAUUUUACU